UACAGAGGUCUCAAGCGUUGUUCGGAUUCAUUGGGCGUAAAGGGUGCGUAGGUGGCGUGGUAAGUCGGGGGUGAAAUUUCGGAGCUUAACUCCGAAACUGCAUUCGAUACUGCCGUGCUUGAGGACUGGAGAGGAGACUGGAAUUUACGGUGUAGCAGUGAAAUGCGUAGAGAUCGUAAGGAAGACCAGUGGCGAAGGCGGGUCUCUGGACAGUUCCUGACACUGAGGCACGAAGGCCAGGGGAGCAAACGGG
rnacentral:rRNA from 1 species